AAUUAUCUGACACUGGAUCAGUAGAAAAACCUUUGUCAUUACAAUAGGAAAUAGAUGCGAAGCUGUUCAUUUAUCCAGUUGAGACUGCAACAAUUUCUUUUGCGGGAACCGAAACAAGAGCUUGAACAGGAGCUGCUGUCGAUAUUGGCAACGUUUUUAGGGAGCUCUUUGGGAGCGAAAUGACUGUAGUUGAGACUGCAACAAUUUCUUUUGCAGGAACCGAAACAAGAGCUUGAACAGGAGUUGCUGUCGAUAUUGGCAACGUUUUUAGGGAGCUCUUUGGGAGCGAAAUGACUGACGCGCUAGGAGUGGUCUUUAAGAGCCUGCUUUCGAGUCACCCGGUGAAUUUACCAACCCUGUUCGACUUCAUCGCUACGCCCCUUACCUCUUCAUUGGGAGCAGGUUGACUACAGAGGGUUCCCCCCUAAUUGAACUCAAGCUUCUUUUUAUGCUAUUUGGAGCGAAAUUCACUAGAACUAGAAGGAGUGAAUAGCUACAAUUGCUUUAGUGAGUCUUAGGCCCCUAACCGGAAAUACGCUAUUUGGACUACAAUGACUUUUGCACCAACUCUUCUGGAAGCAGGGGCCGAAACAAUGCUUUAGCGGUAGGAGCGGAAUCCCCUUUUGGUUUGGAAGGUUGAUAUAGCAGAAA
rnacentral:lncRNA from 1 species